UACCCACUAAAUAUGAAGGAGUGUUCCCGUU
rnacentral:piRNA from 1 species